rnacentral:misc_RNA from 1 species
AACUGAUACUACCUGCGGGAACCUGCGGAGGGAUCAUUACCGAGUGCGGGCCCUCGCGGCCCAACCUCCCACCCUUGUCUCUAUACACCUGUUGCUUUGGCGGGCCCACCGGGGCCACCUGGUCGCCGGGGGACGUCGUCUCCGGGCCCGCGCCCGCCGAAGCGCUCUGUGAACCCUGAUGAAGAUGGGCUGUCUGAGUACUAUGAAAAUUGUCAAAACUUUCAACAAUGGAUCUCUAGA